CUCUGAGGUGAGCUGGCUUCAUCGUGAACACAAAAGCAACUGGUGAGAAUUUAAAUCAGCAGAGGAACACAGAGCAACAACAAAACAAAAGAGAAACAACUAGAAGUGAAGAGGCACUUGGAAACCAAAAAGAUAAAACACCUGAAAUGGACCAUUGCAGCAGUUUGAAAUGGGCCCUAAUAGGUGGCGCCGUUGGCAUUGGGAUCGGUGCUGGGCUAUCCAUUGCCGUUUUCUUGAUAUACAGAUGCAUGACAGGUAACAAAUCAAAGGAGGGAAGAGUGGAUGAGCGAGAGCCACUGAUUACCAACCUGAAUGAAGCCAAAAGGGAACUGGAGAACCAGAAACAUCAACUUGCAGGACAACUCAAACGAGUCGAGUCUGAAAUAGAGGAAAACAAAAAGCAACUUCAGUCAGUGGAGAAUGAAAUAGAGAGAUUGAGCUCUGAUGGCAAAGAUACUUUAUUAACACAUAAAAAAGGACUGUUACAGUCCCAGUGGAAAUUAGAUGAGAAAAAGAAACAUUUGAAAAGACAGCUACUGAACAUAGAGAAAGCUCUAGAACCCAUAGAGAUUUAGAUGACAAGGGGAAUUAACAAUUAAUGAGUAUCCUUAGAUCGCAACACAGUAACAAACCAAGACAAACUGAACUAGAAUUGUUUGAGAGAAAUAUCCAGUUUAUAAUUACAGCCAGACUGGUGAAUCAGCAGGUUUUUAGUAGCUGAAAAGUAAAGGCAUUCACAUUCACAUUUAUGCAAAUGAAUCUAUGAUUUCCUCAAUAAAGCCAGUUUUG